rnacentral:rRNA from 1 species
AAAAGGUUGGGAGUGUUCCUGUAAAGUGUUCUUUUUGUUGUUUUACUUAAUAGUGAGGGGCGUGCUAUUGAGUGUGUGCUGGGAAAACUCGAACAAGUGAGUGGGCUUGUGUGCGAUUUGAGUGUUGUGUUGGCUGACUAGAUUGUGGUAAUCUAGGCCAUCGCAGAGGAAAUUUGGGGAGUGAAAUUUGUCCCUGUGACACUACUAUGGUGGCGACGGGUGACGAAGAGUUAGGGUUCAAUUUCAAAGAGGGAGCUUGAGAAAUGGCUACCAGGUCCAAGGAAGGUAGGAAACACACAAAUUACUUAAUCUUGACACGGGGAGGUAGUGACAAUAAAUAAUAAUACCAGGCUCUAAGAGUCUAGUAAUUAGAAUGAGUUCAAUCUAAAUCCCUUAACAAGGAUCCAUUUAAGGGCAAGUCUAGUGCCAAAAUCACGGUAAUUUUAGCUCUAAUAGCGUAGAUUUUAGUUUUUGAUUUUAAAAAGCUCGUAGUUGGACCUUGGGUUUGGUCAUCAGUUCACCUUCAGUGUGCACCGAUCAACUCAUCCCUUCUACUAGUGAUAUGCUCCUGGCCUUACAUGGUGGGGUCAUGCCUCCGGUGUUAUUUCUUUGAAGAAAUUAGAUUGUUGUAAGCAAGCAUAUGCUCUGUAUAUAUUAGCAUGGGAUAACAUCCAAGGAUUUUGGUCUAAUUCUAUUGGCCGUUGGUAUCGGAGUAAUGAUUAACAAGGACAGUCGGGGGCAUUUGUAUUUCAUAGUCAGAGGUGAAAUUCUUGGAUUUAUGAAAGACGAACAACUGCAAAAGUUUACAAGGGAUGUUUUCAUUAAUUAAGAACGAAUGUUGGGGACUCAAAGAUGAGCUGAUACCGUCCUAGUCUCAACCACAAAUGAUGCAAACUCGGGAUUGGCGGUUGUUGCUUUUAGUCAUCCUUCAACACCUUAUGAAAAAUCAAAGUUUUUGGGUUCUGGGGAGAGUAUGGUCGCAAGGCUAAAAUUUUAAGGAAUUCAGAGAAGGGCACCACCAAGAGUGGAGCCUCCAGCUUAAUUUGACUCAACACGGGGAAACUUACCAGGUCCACACAUAGCAAGGACUAACACAUUGAGAGCUCUUUCUUAAUUCUAUGGGUGGUGGUGCAUGGUUGUUCUUAGUUGGUUGACCGAUUUGUCCAGUUAAUUUCGUUAACGAAUGAGACCUCAACCUGCUAAAUCUCUAUGUAGAGGACUCCCUCUGUGACCAACUUUUUAGAGGGACUAUGGCAUCUUUGGCCAACCAAGUUUGAGGCAAUUGUUGGGCUUUGUGCCCUGAAUAAAAGUCUAUUUCAAUGUAAUCCUUUCAACUCAAUUAUCAAUAAUGAAACAAAUUUAAUUUCAUUACUUGAUUAAUUUGUUGUUUUGUUCAUGUGAUCAUUUAUUUAUUUAUUUGAUUUACAAAUUCAUCCAAAUCCUUCUCACACUGAUAUUCUUAUUUAUUGUGUUGUCAACAGAGUGGAAAGUAAUCAAGAUUGUUGAUUAAAUUUAUUCCUAUGAUUUAUCAGUACAAAGGGAUUAACUUAG